GUCUACGGCCAUACCACCCUGAACGCGCCCGAUCUCGUCUGAUCUCGGAAGCUAAGCAGGGUCGGGCCUGGUUAGUACUUGGAUGGGAGAAUUAUUGGUUUUAUCUCCU
rnacentral:rRNA from 1 species